AACGAACGCUGGCGGCAUGCCUAACACAUGCAAGUCGAACGAGACCUUCGGGUCUAGUGGCGCACGGGUGCGUAACGCGGGGGAACCUGCCCUUAGGUUCGGAAUAACUCCCCUAAAGGGGUGCUAAUACCGGAUAAUGUCUUCGGACCAAAGAUUUAUCGCCUUUGGAUGGGCCCGCGUUGGAUUAGCUAGUUGGUAGGGUAAAAGCCUACCAAGGCGACGAUCCAUAGCUGGUCUGAGAGGAUGAUCAGCCACACUGGGACUGAGACACGGCCCAGACUCCUACGGGAGGCAGCAGUGGGGAAUAUUGGACAAUGGGCGAAAGCCUGAUCCAGCAAUGCCGCGUGAGUGAUGAAGGCCUUAGGGUUGUAAAGCUCUUUUACCCGGGAUGAUAAUGACAGUACCGGGAGAAUAAGCACCGGCUAACUCCGUG
rnacentral:rRNA from 1 species